rnacentral:rRNA from 1 species
GAUGAACGCUGGCUACAGGCUUAACACAUGCAAGUCGAGGGGAAACGACGGGGAAGCUUGCUUCCCCGGGCGUCGACCGGCGCACGGGUGAGUAACGCGUAUCCAACCUGCCUCUGACUGAGGGAUAACCCGUCGAAAGUCGGCCUAAUACCUCAUGGCAUCGUCUGCGGGCAUCCAACGACGAUUAAAGAUUUCAUCGGUCAGGGAUGGGGAUGCGUCUGAUUAGCUUGUUGGCGGGGUAACGGCCCACCAAGGCUACGAUCAGUAGGGGUUCUGAGAGGAAGGUCCCCCACAUUGGAACUGAGACACGGUCCAAACUCCUACGGGAGGCAGCAGUGAGGAAUAUUGGUCAAUGGGCGGGAGCCUGAACCAGCCAAGUAGCGUACAGGAUGACGGCCCUAGGGGUUGUAAACUGCUUUUAUGCGGGGAUAAAGUGAGGGACGUGUCCUUCAUUGCAGGUACCGCAUGAAUAAGAACCGGCUAAUUCCGUG